rnacentral:misc_RNA from 1 species
UCUCCGUUGGUGAACCGGCGGAGGGAUCAUUACCGAGUUUACAACUCCCAAACCCCUAUGUGAACGUUACCAAACUGUUGCCUCGGCGGGAAAUUCAUGCCCCGGGCGCGUCGCAGCCCCGGACCAAGGCGCCCGCCGGAGGACCAACCAAAACUCUUUUGUAUGUCCCUCGCGGACUUUUAUAAUUCUGAACCAUCUCGGCGCCCCUAGCGGGCGUUUCGAAAAUGAAUCAAAACUUUCAACAACGGAUCUCUUGGUUCUG